rnacentral:rRNA from 1 species
UACGUAGGGGGCAAGCGUUGUCCGGAAUCAUUGGGCGUAAAGCGCGCGUAGGCGGCCCGAUAAGUCCGCUGUAAAAGUCAACGGCUCAACUGUUGAACGCCGGUGGAUACUGUCGGGCUGGAGUGCGGCAGAGGGGGAUGGAAUUCCGCGUGUAGCAGUGAAAUGCGUAGAUAUGCGGAGGAACACCGAUGGCGAAGGCAAUCCCCUGGGCCUGCACUGACGCUCAUGCACGAAAGCGUGGGGAGCAAACAGG